UAUAUACCGCAGAGCACCAGAAAGGCAGGUUGGGGAACAAGUUCUGGGGGCUCCAUCUUCACCAGGAAGUACCCUGAAAGUAGCAGUUCCGGUCCAACCCGUGGUUGUUACCUUCUCCUUCAUUCUAAGGGACACAGGCCUGGCAGGGAAGUUAUUCUCACCUGAGGAAGUGAAUGGCAAAGGGCCUGAAAGGCACCUCCCCACCCCCAGGCCUCGGUGUGAGAAGGUCCUUUCACCAAAGGAGGCUUUGAUAAACAAACCUACUAUCAGCAGCCGGGGUGGGGUCCAGGCGGAGCUGUGGCCAAAGACUCCUUGGAACCAGGAAGCUCAAAAGGCAAUCGUCCCGCCCAGGGAUCAAACCAUUGUCUCCUAGAGCUCCUGCAUUGGCAGGUGGAUUCUUUACCACUGGGCCACCUGGGAAGCCCCAAAGCAAUUCAUACCUCUGCAAGAAAUGGGAAGAAACACUGUCUACUGAAAAAGAGAGGUCCAGAUACCAACGAACUACAAACAGCUCAUGAAUUUUCGUCAUGGCGACCUUUCGGGCCAAUCAGUGAGGAACAGGAAGUGGAUGGGAUUGGACCCAGGCUAUAUCUGAGCCACAGCUCUCCCCGCCCUCUCUCUCUGGUGCUUCUAGGAUCUGUGUGGUUUCCUACUGGAUGACGACUUCGACUAGAUUAAAUCCCACUCUCAACUUCCACUCAUGGAAGAAACUGCUGGAACCUCAGUGCCAAUUUUUUAUGAAAUUGCCAUGUGAAUUUGUUGAGUCCAGAAGGUGUGUUCUCAGUAAUGCCUCAAGGCUGUCCACCAACUGAAUUAAUACAGCAUCUCAGCACCAAGUUCAGCCUGCCAUCUCCUCCUCGUAGCAAGAUCAGCCUAGGCUGGAACCCUCAGGGAAAGCCUCCCCAGAGCACCACAGCUUAGAGGGAGGGGAAAGGAAACAUUUCUGGAAAUGAGAGUGACAGGAGCAGAGUUAGAGGGAUGUAGGUGAUGACAGGUGAUGAUGUGGUGAGGAUGGUGAGGACGACUAACGCUCAUUGAGAGUCUACCAUACUCACUCCCAGAGCUGUUUAACUCUUUCCAAGUGUAAGUUCAUUUGUCUCUGACACAAACUCUAUAAAGAAGGUAUUACCACUAUUUUACAGAUGGUGAAAUUAAGGAAUGGAGAGAAUGAAAUGCAUAAGUUGUCCAAGGCCACAUAGCUAUUAAAGAAUGAAAAUAGGUGGGACAAAAAGAAGAUUGCUGUGAUAUAGUGACUUAAUC
ensembl:lncRNA